rnacentral:lncRNA from 1 species
UGCGUCCCCCAGAAUAUGACCCUUUUUUUAUUAUUAAAAUAGCGCAGAAUUUUUAUAUGACAUUUUUAGAAUACGUGCACGAAUCAACUUACGCUCUCUGUAAUUAUUUAUAAGUUCGCUUAUUCACAUGAAAGUGGAAGAUGGAACUUGCGACCCGCAACACGUACAAUUGCUAGCACACGUUGUCGUUGCAGCGUGGAAAUCAUGAUACGCAUUGAUCUCGCCAGUUUGGCAUAGUGGGAUGCCGAUGUUUG